CGCAAGCGUUGUCCGGAAUUAUUGGGCGUAAAGAGCUCGUAGGCGGCUUGUCACGUCGAGUGUGAAAUCCCCGGGCUUAACUUGGGAAUUGCGCUCGAAACUACGUGGCUCGAGUGUGGCAGAGGAAGGUGGAAUUCCACGUGUAGCGGUGAAAUGCGUAGAGAUGUGGAGGAACACCGAUGGCGAAGGCAGCCUUCUGGGCCAACACUGACGCUCAUGCACGAAAGCGUGGGGAGCAAACAGG
rnacentral:rRNA from 1 species